AACGCGAAGAACCUUACCUGGGUUUGACAUGGAUCGGGAGUGCUCAGAGAUGGGUGUGCCUCUUUUGGGGUCGGUUCACAGGUGGUGCAUGGCUGUCGUCAGCUCGUGUCGUGAGAUGUUGGGUUAAGUCCCGCAACGAGCGCAACCCUUGUUCACUGUUGCCAGCACGUUAUGGUGGGGACUCAGUGGAGACCGCCGGGGUCAACUCGGAGGAAGGUGGGGAUGACGUCAAGUCAUCAUGCCCCUUAUGUCCAGGGCUUCACGCAUGCUACAAUGGCUGGUACAGAGAGUGGCGAGCCUGUGAGGGUGAGCGAAUCUCGGAAAGCCGGUCUCAGUUCGGAUUGGGGUCUGCAACUCGACCUCAUGAAGUCGGAGUCGCUAGUAAUCGCAGAUCAGCAACGCUGCGGUGAAUACGUUCCCGGGUCUUGUACACACGC
rnacentral:rRNA from 1 species